GUGAACGCUGGCGGUAGGCCUAACACAUGCACGUCGAACGGCAGCACAGUAAGAGCUUGCUCUUACGGGUGGCGAGUGGCGGACGGGUGAGGAAUACAUCGGAAUCUACUUUUUCGUGGGGGAUAACGUAGGGAAACUUACGCUAAUACCGCAUACGACCUACGGGUGAAAGCAGGGGAUCUUCGGACCUUGCGCGAUUGAAUGAGCCGAUGUCGGAUUAGCUAGUUGGCGGGGUAAAGGCCCACCAAGGCGACGAUCCGUAGCUGGUCUGAGAGGAUGAUCAGCCACACUGGAACUGAGACACGGUCCAGACUCCUACGGGAGGCAGCAGUGGGGAAUAUUGGACAAUGGGCACAAGCCUGAUCCAGCCAUACCGCGUGGGUGAAGAAGGCCUUCGGGUUGUAAAGCCCUUUUGUUGGGAAAGAAAAGCAGCAGGUUAAUACCCCGCUGUUCUGACGGUACCCAAAGAAUAAGCACCGGCUAACUUCGU
rnacentral:rRNA from 1 species